rnacentral:misc_RNA from 1 species
UGAUUACAAUAAUUCAGUUUCUGUGGAUUUUAAAUUGUGAAAUUGAUUUGUUUAUAGCAUUAAUUGUGUACAUUUUAAGAAUAGAGUGUCUGGAAGGAAUCCUACCUUAACCAAUGUUCUAGUUUAGCAUGGUAAUCUAUAAAAAAAUAAAUAUACAGAAGGAAAUAUGCAGGAAUUUACCAGUAUUUGAUUGUCAUAUUCAUUUUCUUUUGC